ACGCUUGACAUGUACGGAAUCCUGAAGAGAUUUGGGAGUGCUCGAAAGAGAGCCGUAACACAGGUGCUGCAUGGCUGUCGUCAGCUCGUGUCGUGAGAUGUUGGGUUAAGUCCCGCAACGAGCGCAACCCUUGUCAUUAGUUGCUACGAAAGGGCACUCUAAUGAGACUGCCGGUGACAAACCGGAGGAAGGUGGGGAUGACGUCAAGUCCUCAUGGCCCUUAUGCGUAGGGCUUCACACGUCAUACAAUGGUACAUACAGAGGGUUGCCAACCCGCGAGGGGGAGCUAAUCUCAGAAAGUGUAUCGUAGUCCGGAUUGGAGUCUGCAACUCGACUUCAUGAAGUUGGAAUCGCUAGUAAUCGCGGAUCAGCAUGUCGCGGUGAAUACGUUCCCGGGUCUUGUACACACCGCCCGUCACACCAUGGGAGCGGGUUUUACCAGAAGUAGGUAGCCUAACCGCAAGGAGGGCGCUUACCACGGUAGGAUUCGUGACUGGGGUGAAGUCGUAACAAGGUAAGCGUAGUGCU
rnacentral:rRNA from 1 species